AGCAAAGACUGGUCAUCUGCAGAAAUACUAAUAUGUUUGUCUAUCUUUAAAAAAAUAUCACCCAGGGUCACUCAUGUAUGUUUUAAUAGCUUUUGGGCAACAAUGGGAUCUUAUGGCAACUUAUUAUUCUUUAUUGGUAACAUAUAUAGCUGACUCAAAGACUUUUGUAUUCACAGGGCCUGUGUAAACAAAGCAUCAAGAAAGGAUUGCAAAAGAAUUAUAAUCUAAAUUAGCAAGUGUAUUUCCCCAUCUCAACAGCCCAACCUCACUGCAUUUACACCACUGGAGCCAGAUGUUCUAACACAAGGAGGUGUACAGCAUCCUAGCCGGUAAUACUUAUUCAGUACAACUAUGUUUCCCAAGGAUUUAGCAGGAGCAAAUACACACCAAGUUCUCAAAUUUGCAUCAGGGUUUAUAGGAACACCUAAUGGGAAAACAAUUAUUAAGAAUACUGGGAACUGUAUACUGUAUAAACAAAUAAGAA